GUUCCCUUUGAGGUUGAAAAGGAAUAAGAUGUCCACAUAUGAUGUUUCUCAUUGGGUAGUCAAUGACCCACUUGGACGGCUGAUGAUGUAGAGAAUUU